CCAAGCUGACCAGGUGGUCAGUUUAUCCACCAUGAUGCCUGGGGAGAAUCACUCAAAAGCUGCAGGAAUUGCAGCAGAGGCAGCAGGAUCCUGUCGGAACUGUACAUCCUUACAGCAGAGUUUAAAUGAAUAUGUAGCAGCAUUAAUAGCUCUUAAGCAAAGGAUUAUUGAUUCAGACCAACUGCUUGCGGAGUAUCAACAAAAGUGUGAUGAUAUCCUUUAUUUAAA